GACAGGGUGGCCGAGUGGUCUAAGGCGCARCGUUWAGGCCGYUGUCAGWAAUGGCGUGGGUUCGAACCCCACCCCUGUCA
rnacentral:tRNA from 1 species